rnacentral:rRNA from 1 species
GGGGGGACGGAGAAGGCUAUGUUGGCCGGGCGACGGUUGUCCCGGUUUAAGCGUGUAGGUGUGUGUUCCAGGUAAAUCCGGUUCACUUUAACACUGAGGCGUGACGACGAGGCACUACGGUGCUGAAGCAACAAAUGCCCUGCUUCCAGGAAAAGCCUCUAAGCAUCAGGUAACAUCAAAUCGUACCCCAAACCGACACAGGUGGUCAGGUAGAGAAUACCAAGGCGCUUGAGAGAACUCGGGUGAAGGAACUAGGCAAAAUGGUGCCGUAACUUCGGGAGAAGGCACGCUGACACGUAGGUGAAGUGAUUUACUCAUGGAGCUGAAGUCAGUCGAAGAUACCAGCUGGCUGCAACUGUUUAUUAAAAACACAGCACUGUGCAAACACGAAAGUGGACGUAUACGGUGUGACGCCUGCCCGGUGCCGGAAGGUUAAUUGAUGGGGUCAGCGCAAGCGAAGCUCCUGAUCGAAGCCCCGGUAAACGGCGGCCGUAACUAUAACGGUCCUAAGGUAGCGAAAUUCCUUGUCGGGUAAGUUCCGACCUGCACGAAUGGCGUAAUGAUGGCCAGGCUGUCUCCACCCGAGACUCAGUGAAAUUGAACUCGCUGUGAAGAUGCAGUGUACCCGCGGCAAGACGGAAAGACCCCGUGAACCUUUACUAUAGCUUGACACUGAACAUUGAGCCUUGAUGUGUAGGAUAGGUGGGAGGCUUUGAAGUGUGGACGCCAGUCUGCAUGGAGCCGACCUUGAAAUACCACCCUUUAAUGUUUGAUGUUCUAACGUGGACCCGUUACCCGGGUUGCGGACAGUGUCUGGUGGGUAGUUUGACUGGGGCGGUCUCCUCCUAAAGAGUAACGGAGGAGCACGAAGGUUGGCUAAUCCUGGUCGGACAUCAGGAGGUUAGUGCAAUGGCAUAAGCCAGCUUGACUGCGAGCGUGACGGCGCGAGCAGGUGCGAAAGCAGGUCAUAGUGAUCCGGUGGUUCUGAAUGGAAGGGCCAUCGCUCAACGGAUAAAAGGUACUCCGGGGAUAACAGGCUGAUACCGCCCAAGAGUUCAUAUCGACGGCGGUGUUUGGCACCUCGAUGUCGGCUCAUCACAUCCUGGGGCUGAAGUAGGUCCCAAGGGUAUGGCUGUUCGCCAUUUAAAGUGGUACGCGAGCUGGGUUUAGAACGUCGUGAGACAGUUCGGUCCCUAUCUGCCGUGGGCGCUGGAGAACUGAGGGGGGCUGCUCCUAGUACGAGAGGACCGGAGUGGACGCAUCACUGGUGUUCGGGUUGUCAUGCCAAUGGCACUGCCCGGUAGCUAAAUGCGGAAGAGAUAAGUGCUGAAAGCAUCUAAGCACGAAACUUGCCCCGAGAUGAGUUCUCCCUGAGACUUUAGGUCUCCUGAAGGAACGUUGAAGACGACGACGUUGAUAGGCCGGGUGUGUAAGCGCAGCGAUGCGUUGAGCUAACCGGUACUAAUGAACCGUGAGGCUUAACCUUACAACGCCGAAGAUGUUUUGGCGGAUGAGAGACGAUUUUCAGCACUGAUU